rnacentral:rRNA from 1 species
UACGUAGGGUGCGAGCGUUGUCCGGAAUUAUUGGGCGUAAAGAGCUCGUAGGCGGUUUGUCGCGUCGACUGUGAAAACCUACAGCUUAACUGUGGGCUUGCAGUCGAUACGGGCAGGCUAGAGUUCGGUAGGGGAGAUCGGAAUUCCUGGUGUAGCGGUGAAAUGCGCAGAUAUCAGGAGGAACACCGGUGGCGAAGGCGGAUCUCUGGGCCGACACUGACGCUGAGGAGCGAAAGCGUGGGGAGCGAACAGG